GUGACCAUUUUAACAAUCACGUGUGUGUGUGUGUGUGUGUGUGUGUGUGUGUGUGUGUGUGUGUGUAGACGACAUGGCUAUCCUACUCCAAGUGUGGCGUAUCAAUGGUGGCCAGUGAAAUGCAGCCUAGGCGUUGUCUCAUUUGAGGGGGUCAAUCGUGAAUAUUUCAUAUAAAAAAAACUGCCUCUUUCCUUUGUCAACUCGGCUACUUUGUAUUAAUUUCCGUUUUAUGACACACGGACGCCCUGUCCCAUAUCCAUUGUGUGAAUAUACAAGUUAACGACGUGUUGGUAUUAAAAUCGGAAUACAAGGUUUAGUAGGAUGCUGGUGACCGCACGGCUCUCCUGUUGGUGUGGCAGGAGAGAUGCAGCAGGUGUUCUGAGUUUUCUAAUCAAGUGCUUUCUUGCAGUUUUGAGGGACUAAACCAGCUGUAUCGAAUGAAUAAAUGUUUGUAAAUUG